rnacentral:rRNA from 1 species
AAUCAACGCUGGCGGCGUGCCUCAGACAUGCAAGUCGAACGAUUAAAGCUCUCUUCGGAGAGUGCAUAGAGUGGCGCACGGGUGAGUAACACGUAAGUAAUCUACCUUCGAGUGGGGAAUAACGUCCGGAAACGGACGCUAAUACCGCAUAAUGCAGCGGCAUCGCAAGAUGACAGUUGUUAAAGAUUUAUCGCUUGAAGAGGAGCUUGCGGCAGAUUAGCUAGUUGGUAAGGCAAUGGCUUACCAAGGCUACGAUCUGUAACCGGUCUUAGAGGACGGUCGGUCACACUGACACUGAAUAACGGGUCAGACUCCUACGGGAGGCAGCAGUCGGGAAUUUUGGGCAAUGGGCGAAAGCCUGACCCAGCAACGCCGCGUGAAGGAUGAAGUAUUUCGGUAUGUAAACUUCGAAAGAAUGGGAAGAAUAAAUGACGGUACCAUUUAUAAGGUCCGGCUAACUACGUGCCAGCCGCCGCAGUAACAC